rnacentral:rRNA from 1 species
GAUGAACGCUGGCGGCGUGCCUAAUACAUGCAAGUCGAGCGAACAGACGAGGAGCUUGCUCCUCUGACGUUAGCGGCGGACGGGUGAGUAACACGUGGAUAACCUACCUAUAAGACUGGGAUAACUUCGGGAAACCGGAGCUAAUACCGGAUAAUAUAUUGAACCGCAUGGUUCAAUAGUGAAAGACGGUUUUGCUGUCACUUAUAGAUGGAUCCGCGCCGCAUUAGAUAGUUGGUAAGGUAACGGCUUACCAAGGCAACGAUGCGUAGCCGACCUGAGAGGGUGAUCGGCCACACUGGAACUGAGACACGGUCCAGACUACUACGGGAGGCAGCAGUAGGGAAUCUUCCGCAAUGGGCGAAAGCUUGACGGAGCAACGCCGCGUGAGUGAUGAAGGUCUUCGGAGCGUAAAACUCUGUUAUUAGGGAAGAACAAAUGUGUAAGUAACUAUGCACGUCUUGACGGUACCUAAUCAGAAAGCCACGGCUAACUACGUG